CCCAGAUGUAUGCUUAUUUUCCUAUAAGAACCCAGGUUGGCCUCGAACUUGCCAUUCUCUUGCUUCAACCUCUUGAGCGCUGGUAUUAAGGCACGCCCCACCAAGCCUGACUAAAAGACUAUAUUUUCCUAAGCAAAAGUCACACAUGGCUCAAGAAGUAGGUUAUGUUUUUUUAAUUAAAGUUUAAUGUACAUACAAUAAAGGGCCCUAAUCUUAAGUGUACAUUAGAUGAUUUUUUUCUAUAUAUGGUUACACCCACUCACCCACCCAAGCCAAGAUAUGGACAUUUUCCAGCACCCCAUAAAGUUCCUUCUAACCCAGAGUGAUUUAAAUUCAACAAAGAUCAUCUAAAAUAAGAACUGAAAAACCAAAAAAAUUUUUAUUUUAAUUGAAAAACAGAAAGCAAGCAGACAAGUUAAAAAGCUGGGCAAUUGAAAGGCUGGAUUUGGGAAAGGGCAUUAAGAGGAGAACAAACCCUGCUUUUGUCUUCUUUCGAAAGGUGAAAGCUGAGUGCUUUGCGGGUUCACCUUCCUUUGGGUUUUGUUCCUCAAACUGACCGCGCUGUUUAGUCCGCUUAAUCCUCUUUAGCACGCCAGGAAACAAACUUCAGCACCAGGAAACAAACACGUACAGGGUUUAAGAGAAUACCUUCACCCAGAGCAGGAGAAGGAACAGGCUAGAGUCUGCCCAGCAAAUCCCGCCACGUAGCAGAGGGACAGGGCAGGGCCCGGCAUCAGGUUACCAGGCAGUGCGGCUAACACCUGCUGAUAUAAAAGCUCAGGCCAGCUGUCCUCAGGAACCGGUGCUGAACCCGCAGCGCGCGCUUUGAAUUUCCUGGAAGCUGCUUGCCUCUCCGGGUGGGCGACCCAGGCAGAACAGGGCGAAGUCAUCCGACAUUGUUUGGAGAAGCAAUUUACACGGCAGACUGUCGUCUUCACAGAGGUCACCCCGACCCCCGCACCUGCCUCUCAUGUGGUGUCUGGAGCGGCUCCUGUGGGGCAGGGAUCGGAUCCUCCGG
rnacentral:lncRNA from 1 species